GUGAAACACACAAACAUUUCUUUUUUUUUUUGCAAAGCUGGUUGCUUUGUUUCGUUUGUCUUUGUAACCUUAGCUUUAUUUGAACAAGACUAAGUAUCUCGCAGCUCUGAGGCUGUUUUGCUCAUUGUUAAGAAAACCAAACGGUUACAGAAACGAAAGUGUUGGGACAUAUUUACAUUUUGACUAGAUGAUGCACUAGAUGAAAGGUUUGAGGACGAUGAAAGUCAUAAUGUUUCAUCCUCUGGAGACCAUGUCUGUCUGCACCAAAUUUCCAUCUAAUACAUCUUGAGAUAUUUCAGAAUGGUGGACUAACCAACUUGACUGUGCCAUAACCAAAGUGACGCUGCUGGCAUAUUAAAAAAGUUUUCAAGCAUAUGUUAAACUAGAUGACCUGGAGUGGGUGUGGAUUAGGAUGAAGGGCCCGAUUUGGAAAAUGUUUACUUUUUUCUCUUGUCCAUAAUUCUUGAUGGCUGACCUGGUAGUAGUUAUAGAAGUAGCCUACAUGCAGUAGUUGCGUUGCGCUGCAGUGCGUUGCGGUUCGGUGCGGUGUGUUGCGGUGCGGUGGUGUGCGUUGCAGGAAUAACAGACAAGAUGAGUGACAGUAUAAAAGAAGCAGCAUGGCAAAUUAUGAUAUUCUGUAAAUUAUAAGGUUUAGUAUAAUUAUAUUGAAUAAUUUAAGUGAUAUAUGUGCACACAUACUAAUCAUAGGUCAAAACAGCUAAAGCUAAAUUUGGCUGAAUUAUAAAAGGCAGAAGUGGUAAAACGAAGAGCCGUUUGGGAGCCGAAAGAGCCGGCUCUUCUUGGUGAGCUGAGCCAAAUGAUCUGGAUCACUAAAAAGAGCCGGAAUUCCCAUCACUACUCUGAACGGUAGCUCUAUUUGUCAGGACACCGGCGGCGAGCACGUUAAGUGACGCAAAUGUAACACACCCACGUUUUUGCGUCAUUAACAGGUGCGUGAGGAGCUUCUGUCUUUAGUGAGGUGAGGAGGCCUGUGUGAGGGACAGAGAGGCUGAGUGGACAGGUGACAGAGAAAAGGAGAAAAGGCGAAGGAGUUAAGGAGAGUGAAGACGAGAGGAGGACAGGGCAGCUGCAGUGUGGGCAGGUCUGUAGGAUGUCUUUACCUGGAAAUCCAGCAGUGCAUCCAGCUGGUUCUGAAUGAUGGGCAGAGUCUUAAUCAGCUUUUCUGUGUUCAUGGUGCGCAUCACACCGUCGGCCCUGUAAGCUGUAUAUCUUUGAGUUGUGGAAAAAACAAGACAUUUGAGGACAUCAUCUUGGGCUUUGGGAAACACUGAUGGACAUUUUUUUUCACCAUUUUCUGACAUUUUAUAGAGCAAACAACUAAUCGACAAUGAAAAUAAUCGUUAGUCGCAGCCCUAAUAUGAAUUCUUGUACGGAAAUACUACAUACUGCCACUGUAAAAAUUGCUACCUUUAAUUGUGCUGUAGGACUGUAUUUAUGCAACAUGUUUUUUUUUGUUGUUUCGACAGUUCAGGUAAUUAGACACAAGAAAUGAAGUGUAUGGUGAAAAACCACUCUGGUCUUUGUACACUGUUAGCUAUCUGUCUUCACGUCAAUGAUAGCAUUUAGCAGCAAGCACCACUGUGGCCAAGGACAGCCUCACAGAGCCGCUAGCAUAGCUCGUUUAAAGAUAUUAUUUUACUUAUCACAGAGUAAUAACAAAGCACUUGUGCUUCUACUUAAAUCCAAUUACAUUAAGUAAUAGAGCUUCUUCAGUCAAAUAUUUCCGUGCUGCGUUCACCUGCAUGUAUUCCUGUGGGUGAUAAUACAUUAGUUAGGAUUUAAUCAUCGACGUGUGACAGUGUAAAUAGCCAGAGGGAUGUGAUGAAAUAUUGACUGCCAGCUGGAAUUAUUGAUAACAUACAGUCCAUAGGAAAUAAUGUACGUCAAUAACACAAUUAGAAAUAAGAUUUAGGGAUGACGGUGUGCAAACAUUAAUACAAAGAAAAAGGUGACAACAGUGUCGUCAAGUUAAAUUCAAGGCAUUUGUAAUGCUAGUUAGGAUAAAAUAUAAAACUCUUAAGAGUAUGUGUGACUGGAGGGACUUUCAAAAUGUAAUAAAAACUUUAUUAAAGAUG